GAUGAACGCUGGCGGCGUGCCUAAUACAUGCAAGUCGAGCGAACGGACGAGAAGCUUGCUUCUCUGAUGUUAGCGGCGGACGGGUGAGUAACACGUGGAUAACCUACCUAUAAGACUGGGAUAACUUCGGGAAACCGGAGCUAAUACCGGAUGAUAUUUUGAACCGCAUGGUUCAAAAGUGAAAGACGGUCUUGCUGUCACUUAUAGAUGGAUCCGCGCUGCAUUAGCUAGUUGGUAAGGUAACGGCUUACCAAGGCAACGAUGCAUAGCCGACCUGAGAGGGUGAUCGGCCACACUGGAACUGAGACACGGUCCAGACUCCUACGGGAGGCAGCAGUAGGGAAUCUUACGCAGUGGGCGAAAGCCUGACGGAGCAACGCCGCGUGAGUGAUGAAGGUCUUCGGAUCGUAAAACUCUGUUAUUAGGGAAGAACAUAUGUGUAAGUAACUGUGCACAUCUUGACGGUACCUAAUCAGAAAGCCACGGCUAACUACGUG
rnacentral:rRNA from 1 species